CAUCUGUCCAGUGAGGAGACAUCAGUUGGCCGGUUUUAAACUAGGUCGUUUUCAGUCCUCGUCGUGUCUGGCAGUGGUUAGAUCUGGGUUCUGCAGUCAUUAAACACAGUGGUCAGAUCUGGGUUCUGCAGUCAUUAAACAGUGUGGUCAGAUCUGGGUUCUGCAGUCACAUUAAACACAGUGGUCAGAUCUGGGUUCUGCAGUCACAUUAAACACAGUGGUCAGAUCUUGGUUCUGCAGUCACAUUAAACACAGUGGUCAGAUCUGGGUUCUGCAGUCACAUUAAACACAGUGGUCAGAUCUGGGUUCUGCAGUCACAUUAAACACAGUGGUCAGAUCUGGGUUCUGCAGUCAUUAAACACAGUGUGGUCAGAUCUUGGUUCUGCAGUCACAUUAAACACAGUGGUCAGAUCUGGGUUCUGCAGUCAUUAAACAGUGGUCAGAUCUUGGUUCUGCAGUCAUUAAACACAGUGGUCAGAUCUGGGUUCUGCAGUCAGAGGGGAUGGUCAGUUCUAGGUUCUGCAGUCAGAGGGGAUGGUCAGUUCUAGGUUCUGCAGUCAGAGGGGAUGGUCAGUUCUAGGUUCUGCAGUCAGAGGGGAUGGCCAGACACUGGGAAUAAAAGACAAGGGUAAAACUGGAACACCCAAAAACUCCUCUGGAGACUGGAAGGCUGUAGUGGUUUGGCUGGGGAGUGUAAGAGUGGCAAGGUAGUACAGGCUAGUGGUGG